rnacentral:rRNA from 1 species
GACGAACGCUGGCGGCGUGCCUAAUACAUGCAAGUCGAACGAGAGCGACCGGUGCUUGCACUGGUCAAUCUAGUGGCGAACGGGUGAGUAACACGUGGGUAACCUGCCCAUCAGAGGGGGAUAACAUUCGGAAACGGAUGCUAAAACCGCAUAGGUUCUUGAGUCGCAUGACUGAAGAAGAAAAAGAGGCUUCGGCUUCUGCUGAUGGAUGGACCCGCGGUGCAUUAGCUAGUUGGUGAGGUAACGGCUCACCAAGGCCGUGAUGCAUAGCCGACCUGAGAGGGUGAUCGGCCACAUUGGGACUGAGACACGGCCCAAACUCCUACGGGAGGCAGCAGUAGGGAAUCUUCCGCAAUGGACGCAAGUCUGACGGAGCAACGCCGCGUGAGUGAAGAAGGAUUUCGGUUCGUAAAACUCUGUUGUUAGAGAAGAACAGCGCAUAGAGUAACUGUUAUGCGUGUGACGGAUCUAACCAGAAAGCC